rnacentral:lncRNA from 1 species
AAAAUACAAAAAGAGAGGUAAUUUAGAUUACCUCAUUUGGGUCUUGACCAUAUCAAUGGUGGAAGACAAACAUCCACGCGAGGUAAGAACCUCGGGAGAGAUGACUCCAGAUAACACUGGGAACAUUCCACAACGGGAAGAAGAAGCGCACGGAGACAUUACUCCGGCGAUUAGAAGCAUUCUCGAGACUGAUUGCUCGGAAGAAGCCAAACUUGGUACCAAGAUGGAUCGAACCCUGGUAAAAUCAUGUCCUUAGCUUAUCAUGUCCAUACUUGCUCACUUGCGACUUCCUAAGUACUCGCAAGAAGCAAUGAUACUUAAAGUGGUUGAGUCUCAGUUGAGCAUAGUUAAGCUAAGGACUAAGAUUCUUACUUAGAUGAUCUCUUGAAAGAAACUACUACCAAAAUCAUGUAAAUUGUUUCCAGUUGAGAUGUAUUCAUGAUAAGCCCUGAUCCACUUGUUAACAUAAACCUCAUGAGACUGACCCCUCAAAAACCAUUGUCUUUGUUUAAGAGAGAUGAUAGAUAUACGAUGGACAUUAGGACAAUUGGUAGUAGUAAAAAAAAAAAAAAAAAAAAAGCAAAAAAGAUAGGUAAUUUGGAUUACCUCAGAUAAGUGAUGUUGAGUCAAAUUAAACAACCACAGAGCGAGAAAUCUGGGAAGAAGUUGAAGAGGACAAGCCACGACUUUUUAAGGAUCGGGCUGAUUAGUACCAAUUGAACCCUGGUGGCAUAUGUAAGUAGUGAUAUAUGUAGCACCUCGGUGCAUUCCUACCGGGACCGACCGGAUAGCCGAUAGUGUUUAUCAAAAAAAAAAAUGUAAGUAGUGGUCAGACACAACCACUUUGAACGGGUUCAAUUGGUGUUACACACUCUAAUUUAAUUUUACAUAUACGCUAGAUAUAACCGGUUCCCGGUUUAUAACGGUUCGUUAAAUAAUUCCACACACACAUACCACAAACAAUUUGAGUUCGAGGGUUAAGGGACAUUGCGUCGACGUCGUGAAAAACACUAUGUCCAAAAACAUUUGAAUCUAGUAAGGUUAAAAGACACGAGCAAUUUAGAUAUUCCUAACAAGAUCUACCUUUCACCUCAUAAACGUUUUUUGCUUUUAUCCUUCUCUUCACCAAAAAAACAUUUAAAAUGAAAAAGAAUUUCUCUAGUUUUUGCAUUUUGUGUCAGAGUCGACAAAACAGUCACUGGCAAAACAUUCGAAUCUGUUUAAUUAGUGUUAAAUUGCCCACAAAGAAUCCACUAAAUUUAGCUUCAAAUUGAAGAAGAUGAGAAAUUAACUUUGUCUUUGUCCGAGUUACAGGUGUCAAACGGGCCGGUCCGCGUCCAUCUAGGUCGGCCCGCGAUGGGCAUUUAAAUUUAUGAGACCGUGGCGGGCCGGCCCGCUAGGACCGCGGGCAAAAAUAAUAUGUCCAGGCCCGCCCCGCGGGCUUAGUUUUAAAUAUUUUAAAAAUAAUUAAAAAAUAAAAUUAAUUUUUUAAAUUUGAAAUUAACAAUUUUUCAAUAAAAAAAUAUUUAUUUAUUUAUAUUAAUUAUUUAUUUUUAUUAAAUAUUUGUAGUCCGCGGACCGGUCCGCAAAUCUGCGGACAAAACCCGCAAAAACCCGCAAUCCGCCUGGGCUUGUCCGCGAGAUCCGCUAUUUUAUGAGCAUGAAAAAUGAUGUCCAAGCCCGCCCCGCUGUGGGUUAUUUGGACGAAGCCUGCGGGCUAUCGGCCCGCUUGACACCUCUAACCAAACCAUGAUCAACGACGACGAAUAAAAAGAGAUCGAUAUUUCUUGUUCACUUAGGAUCAAUUAUCAAAAUUUCAGAAAAUAGGUAAUUUAGAUUACCUAGUCCCCGUGGUGUGAUUUUUUAAAGCCAUGAAGAGAAACAAACUUUCAUCUCCAUUUGUACCAAUAUGAAUUCUCGAACCCUGAUGGAAUCUACUCCCCAUGCAGGCAUGCAGAGUUAUUACCACCUUUACUGGACCCGAAUUGGUGCUCGUAGUUCCAUUUUUUAAUACUUAAAUUAGCUUUUAACCCAGAUCUUAAUUCCCGGUUUAAUUCGGUUCACUAAAGAUUCCAGAACCAGAAAUAAUUAAUUAGUUGCACUUAUUUCGGGUUAUUCCAUGUGAGAAGUGCAAAGGAGACGAAUUUUGGUUGUAUCACAGUGAAAAACUUGCGGCUGCGUUUUGGUUUUAUUGUGAUGCUAGUAAAAGCUCCAAUUACGGUUAAUAAGAAUCUGUAUGGAUUGUCAGUUGUCACACAUGUGUUUAAGUUUGUUGAGAGAUUAUCGCUAGAUAUAUUCAUAGGUUAGGUUUCUUCUAUUCAACGAUGGUAUUUGUUCUUGUUCUUGUGGAGAUUAUUGGUGAAUAUUUGUUUUUGUGAAAUUAUAGUGAGACAACUGGUAAAAUGAGCAAAAGUGGACAAAUAAUUUAUUUUUAAUAUGUGCAAAAAAGAUUUUUUUUGUUCGUAAUGAGCAAAAAAUAUAUUUGUGCUUUUUUGGGAGUAAAAGGAGUUAUUUGUUUAAAACAUAAUGAAAAUAAGAUAGUUAAUUAGCUUAGUUGUUGGAAAUUGGCUUAGUUACAUUCAUAUAAAUUAAGUUUAAGCUUAGUUUGCACUCACAAGUCACACACAUUGGCUUCUUUGUUCUCUUAUUGUGUCUUUCUCUUCUUCCCCAAUAUUAAAAAACUAGCUAACUUAUCACAAAACUCCUUCGUUUAUGCAUAUUAUUAUAUAAUCAACAAAUGUAAACACUCUUGCAUGUUCAUUAUAUUACAUCAUGCGACGCUUUUCUUGCAAAACUUGAUUCAGUUCAGCUGCUUUUUUUUUUUUUUUGUUAAUUUGCUUUUUUUUUUUAAGUGGCUUUAUGUGUCUUUUGUGAACAAACAUGAUCUUCUGGUGAUUUAUGCAGGAUAUGGAUCAUGACUCAUGAGACCUCGGUAAAGAAGAUGUUUUUUGGAAAGACAUAUGUUGCACAAUUUACAUUUUUGUAAUUGUGUCGCAAUUACGGUGUCUAGACGGAUUAGACGAUCAAGCUCUUUCCAUUUCAAGUUUAAUUUCUAGUUUUAUAUAGUCGUAUUAGUUUAAAUAAAUUUAUUUAUUUAAUGAUAUCCAAACAUGGUUUGCAACAAGACAAUGAUAAAGGAUAGACUCUUCCUAGAAGUUAUACAAGUGUAGCAACGUUUAUUUUUUCUUUGAAUAUAAUUUAACAUUAAAUUCAAAAAAAGAAAGAAUAUAUUAACGAGUAUGGACAUGUCUCGAAAUUACUCAUUCAAACAAUUUAAAACUUCAAUUUUUAAAAAUAUUUAUCCGAAAACAUCCAAUUUAUUUCGUAACUAAUCUAAAUAUCCAAUUUCGAGUUUGUUCCUUGUCUAAAUUAAUGAAAUGAUUAAAGCUUCACAUGUUUAACAAAAAACACCAUUGGAGAUUAAUUUACAUGUUACGUUAUAAACUAUUUUUUGUUGCCAAGGAUAGAGCCCUAUGCAAUAGAAUCGGUGAAUCAUAGAGAGGAGAACAUAUAGCAACUAGCAAGAGACUUUUCAACCAUGGGAUGAAAGAGUCGAACAUGUGACCUGAGUAAUAAUCUUCGACUGAUAUUCAAAUUGGUUUGUGCGGUUUAGACUGAUUCUCUUAUUAAAUUUUUAAAUUAGACACAAACCAAACGAUUUAACCAAAAUUUUAUUUUCUUGUGUCGUCGUCGGAAAAAAACAAUUUUUCCACAAACAUUUAAAUCUCGUAAAGUUAAAAGAUAAGAACAAUUAAGAAGAUCUACCUUCACCUCAUACACAUAACAUAAAAAGUAUAGAUGAUUUUGGUCGGAACAUUUACCUCCUUUCGAGAUUUAUUAUUCUAAAAAAUAGUAAAAAGGAGAGGUAAUUUAGAUUACCUCAUAUUUGGGUCGUACCACAAAGGGUAGAGAGUGAUCACCAGAUUAGACUGGGAAUGUUUAAUUUCCACUACGGGAAGAAUAAUCACCAGAUAGACUGGGACUGUUUCCAACCAUCAAAGGGUGGUGGUGUCCAAAGAAGCCCAGAUUCGCUGGGAAUGUUUCCAAAUUCCACCAUCAAAGGUAUUCCACAAGAAUGAGCCCAAAUCCGUUGGGAAGACUAUUUGCCACAACUGGAACACAGAGAGAAUCCAAACUUGGUACCAAUAUGGAAUCGAACCCUUGUGGGAGUGCAACUCAACUAGAGACUCAACCACUUUGAAAGGGCUCCAAUUGGUGGCCGAACGUCUAUUUUAUUUGUAUAUAAACCCUUUUGAACUGAAGUCAAACCAAAAAGUUUCUCGGUUAAGAAUGGUUCGCUUUCUAUUUCUUUAAACGCUUUUUUUUUCUAACCGAGAAAAGUCGGCAAAAACAGUCAUUG